rnacentral:rRNA from 1 species
CGCGUAGGCGGUCUUGUAAGUCCCGUGUGAAAGCCCCCAGCUCAACCGGGGAAUGGCACGGGAAACUGCGAGGCUUGAGUUCGGGAGAGGGAAGCGGAAUUCCGGGUGUAGCGGUGAAAUGCGUAGAUAUCCGGAGGAACACCAGUGGCGAAGGCGGCUUCCUGGACCGAUACUGACGCUGAGGCGCGAAAGCUAGGGGAGCAAACG